rnacentral:rRNA from 1 species
UGCGUAGGCGGAAUAAUAAGUCAGUGGUGAAAUCCUGCAGCUUAACUGUAGAACUGCCAUUGAUACUGUUAUUCUUGAGUAUAGUUGAGGUGGGCGGAAUGUGUCAUGUAGCGGUGAAAUGCUUAGAUAUGACACAGAACACCGAUUGCGAAGGCAGCUCACUAAACUAUCACUGACGCUGAGGCACGAAAGCGUGGGGAGCAAACAGGAUUAGAUACCCUGGUAGUCC